GAUGAACGCUGGCGGCGUGCCUAAUACAUGCAAGUCGAGCGAACAGACGAGGAGCUUGCUCCUCUGACGUUAGCGGCGGACGGGUGAGUAACACGUGGAUAACCUACCUAUAAGACUGGGAUAACUUCGGGAAACCGGAGCUAAUAUCGGAUAACAUGUUGAACCGCAUGGUUCAACAGUGAAAGACGGUCUUGCUGUCACUUAUAGAUGGAUCCGCGCCGCAUUAGCUAGUUGGUAAGGUAACGGCUUACCAAGGCAACGAUGCGUAGCCGACCUGAGAGGGUGAUCGGCCACACUGGAACUGAGACACGGUCCAGACUCCUACGGGAGGCAGCAGUAGGGAAUCUUCCGCAAUGGGCGAAAGCCUGACGGAGCAACGCCGCGUGAGUGAAGAAGGUCUUCGGAUCGUAAAACUCUGUUAUUAGGGAAGAACAAAUGUGUAAGUAACUAUGCACGUCUUGACGGUACCUAAUCAGAAAGCCACGGCUAACUACGUG
rnacentral:rRNA from 1 species